UUCUAUUUCUGUAGAAAGUUUGGUACAUUCAGUUUAUACAGACUGACCUAGGAUUAGACAACCCCAUAGUAUCAAACAGCAGAAGACUUCCUAGUUGGGGGUCAGGUUCCCAGAACCAUGCAUUACUAGUACAUUGCAAACCACGCUUUGCUAGUAGGUCAGCGAUCUGAUUAGCCUGACGGUAAAUACACACCACACUGUAAUUUACAGACUCUAGAUAUUUUUUACAAUCUGCAACCAAAGACGCAAACUUCCAGCCAAACCUAUACAUUUCCUCCAACAGACCAUACACAAAAGUAAAAUCAGUUUCGAUCACCACAUUAGUCAUAUGUAGGCUUGCAAUCAUGUGCGCAGCAUCUCUGACGGCCCAGAGUUCAGCCAAGUCAUUUGAGCAGCAGCCAAUGUGUCUGGAUAAACCUGCAAAAAAGGAACCAAAUUCAUUCCUUAUAACCACACCUAUCCCAGCCGCAGAAUUAUUUGCCGCUCCAUCCACAUUCACUUUCCACCACCCUUGGGGUCCAAGUGAUAUGUAAGUAAGAAUGCGCUCUUGAACUGCUAGAGAUGCUAGAAUGGUGCUGCAAGUACUUUAUUGUCUUAAACUGAGCUGUAUGGUAGUUUUUAUAUGGAUGGAAAGGGCUGUAUCUGAAUAUUUUGUGGUUUUGUCCUUUCCAUAUAUUCCACAUAACAUGGGCUGCCAUAGUGAUAGCUCCAUCAUUUGCUUGGUUGAACUUCACUAGCUGCACUACCCAAUUGAUGGACAUAGGAGGAUCUGUCCAUCUAAUAUGCCAGUGCAGAGAUGCUAGAUGCAAAAUGAUCUGUGUGGUAUGACAAAUCAAAAGGAGGUGAGUUUGGUCUUCUGGGGAUAGGUGACACAUAGCACAAACAGGGUCAAUUGUACGUAAUUUGGUUUUCCGUUGUACCCUAGUUGCCAGUUUAUUGUGCAUGAUUAACCAGAGGAAGACUUUGAGCUUAGGAGGACAGUUAAGUUUCCAGACAAGGUUCCAGUGUGACUGAGAUAAGGGGUUGCGAUACUUGUCUUCUUCUAGAAAAGUUUACAUGGAAUUGACUGUCGGUUGUCCGGAAGGGUGGUGAGGCCAGAUAAUUUCAUCGCGUGUACUCCGAGUGAGGGAUAGGGGGAUAGCUUUAAUUUUGUCUGUAAUCCAACAAGGUAAAAACGAUGACAGAAGCUGAAUAUUCCAUCUCCCAUUUGUGAUACACUGCUCCACUUUCCAGUUCAAAGUUUGGGGGUGAAUUGUUAAGGGGGCUAUAACAGUAAGAGGCUGAUGCGUGAUCCAGGGGUCAGUCCACAGAUUAAUGGAGGACCUUGUGCCUACCACCCACUGAUAUCCUUUUUUAAUCAACUUAAUUGCUUCGACAAUGCUUUUCCAACCCCAUGAUUGACCAGGAUGAUGUUGUGCCUCUAGAAAGGGAGAGUUUGGAAAGUACUUAGCUUUUAACACUUUGGUUAAAAACAACUCUUGGUUCCUGUAGAGUCUCCAAGCCAGUCUCCCCAAGAAAGCUAAAUUCAUGAGGUAAAGAUCUUUUAAUCCCAAACCUCCUUUAUCCUUUCUUUUGAUCAUAGUGUCCCAGGAAAUAUGGUGCAUUUUAUGUUCAGAAUUGGGGUGGUUCCACAUAAACGACUUCCUCAACCUAUCUAACUCAUCAAUAACUAAGAUGGGAAGCUUAAAAGCCUGAAAAUGGUGUGCUGGUAUCGCAUUUAACACUGCUGAAGUUAGAACACCUCUACCAGCCAUACUAAGGUGUUGACCAUGCCAAAGAGAAGAUAGGUUGAACAUUUUGUCUCGCAGUUGGUUGCAAACAGGUUUGACUGAAGAACCAUUGGAGCAAGAGAUACCUAGAUAUUUUCCUAGUUUGGUAUCUGGUUGAAUAUUGAGUAUCGAAGCACAGGAAUUAAGGACCUCAGGGGAUAAGUUUGAAGAAGGGAAAAAACAGGACUUGGAGAGGUUUAUUUGUUGCCCGGACUCUAGGCAGAAGAACUGAAUUAGCUCAUUGAAAAUCUGACAGUUAUUAUCAGUAGCUUUUAAAAAGAACAAACUAUCAUCUGCGAAG
rnacentral:lncRNA from 1 species